UGUAAGCGUAUACCAAAGUUGUUGCAGUUAAAACGCUCGUAGUCGGAAUUUGGCAGUUCCGGAUGUGUGCACGUCGUGUGCGCACUUCGCGGGGAUUGCUUUUGUGGUCUUGCGUAGGAUGAGGCACUUUUAUUAGUGAACGUCCUCACGCAACCACUUUUUACUGUGAGAAAAUCAGAGUGCUCAAAGCAGGCAUUUGCCGUGAAUGUAUUAGCAUGGAAUAAUAGAAUAGGACUUGGUUCUAUUUUGUUGGUUUGUUGGGACUGAGUAAUGAUUAUGAGGGACAGUUGGGGGCAUUUGUAUUUCGGUGCUAGAGGUGAAAUUCUUAGAUUACCGAAAGACAAACUGCUGCGAAAGCGUCUGCCAAGGAUGUUUUCAUUGA
rnacentral:rRNA from 1 species